rnacentral:rRNA from 1 species
CCUACGGGAGGCAGCAGUGGGGAAUAGUGGACAAUGGGGGGAACCCUGAUCCAGCCAUGCCGCGUGUGUGAAGAAGGCCCUCGGGUUGUAAAGCACUUUCAGUGAGGAAGAACGCCUGGUGGUUAAUACCCAUCAGGAAAGACAUCACUCACAGAAGAAGCACCGGCUAACUCCGUGCCAGCAGCCGCGGUAAUACGGAGGGUGCGAGCGUUAAUCGGAAUUACUGGGCGUAAAGCGCGCGUAGGUGGCUUGAUAAGCCGGUUGUGAAAGCCCCGGGCUCAACCUGGGAACGGCAUCCGGGACUGUCAAGCUAGAGUGCAGGAGAGGAAGGUAGAAUUCCCGGUGUAGCGGUGAAGUGCGUAGAGAUCGGGAGGAAUACCAGUGGCGAAGGCGGCCUUCUGGACUGACACUGACACUGAGGUGCGAAAGCGUGGGUAGCAAACAGGAUGAGAUACCCGUGUAGUC